UUAAAUUUGUCUGCACUGGCUGACCUUCAUGUCUUAAAGUAAUGAUGAACUGUCUCUCUUUGCUUAUUUGAGCUGUUCUUGGCAUAAUAUGGACUUGGUCUUUUACCAAAUAGGGUUAUCUUCUGUACACCGCCCUUACCUUGUCACAACACAACUGAUUGGCUCAAACAAAUGAACUUUUAAUAAGGCACACCUGUUAAUUUAAAUGCAUUCCAGGUGACUACCUCAUGAAGCUGGUUGAGAGAAUGCCAAGAGUAUGCAAAGCUGUCAUCAAGACAAUGGGUGGCUUCUUUGAAGAAUCUCAAUAUAAAAUAUAUUUUGAUUUGUUUAACACUUUAUUGGUUACUACAUGAUUCUAUAUGUGUUAUUGCACUGUUUUAAUGUAUUCACUAUUAUUCUACAAUGUAGAAAAUAGUCAAAAUAAAGAAAAACCCUGGAAUGAGGGGGUGUGUCCAAACUUUUGACUGGUGAUGUAAAUAAGAGCUCAAGCUCAAUAGAUAGGAAGUUGAAUCAUAUCUACAUAUCACUUGUCGCUCCAACAGGUGGAGAAAGAGCAUGAGAGAGACACAGGCUUGUUAUGGGAACGGGUUCAGGAAAAAGUAUAAGACCUGCUCCCUCUGGUUUCAAUCCAGCAAAUUAGUCAAAUUAGAAUCUGGAACCGCUCUUCCCCAAAUGCAUCUGGCUGGCUAGUCUUUUCGUUUCCAUGGCAAUACCAGCGAAGCUUCCUGGAUGAUCCUCAGGCAGCAGCAACCAGUCGUGAACACACGGGGAAGGUGACCAGGCUGUAUGGAAGGAAAAGGAACAGAAACCCACAGCUCUGUUUGGGCCAAUUCCAAACACCAGUGGACAGGGACUGUCUGGGAGUCAGAAGGGAGAGAGCGGAUGCUUCUUCAGCAUGCCUGGAGCAGAGGAUAGAAGGGUGGCUUGUGCUCGCCUGCCAGGGCACUGGAGAGACGUGAGGGAGUGGAGCAUAGAGAAGAGACAGAGCCACAGAAUGUGGGUCCAGGAUGUCGAAAAUGUCCUCAGUUCAAUGGCUAGGCAACUGUGUGCUUCCCUGGAUAAAUAUCCUCGCCACGAGCCUGGGGAUGGCUCAAACCACUUCUCCCCUUCCUUCCAAGACUGGUUUCCCUCCCGUCAUCCAGCCCUUACUUACAGACAGCUGUAGGUCCUCUACACCCACAGACUGAAGAGCCAUGGAACAUAUUGCUCGGCAGCUAAAAUGGACAAUGGCAGAACGAAGCCUUCAUUAUUGAUUGAUUUGAAAUGUUUAUUGGUGUGAAUCAUCUAGAAACCACCAUAGGUAGUGCUACCACAGAGGAGGAGUCAAAGAUAUUCAGUUAUAUACCAGAGCUCAUGAAAAUACAUUUCUACCCUUGUCUGAAUCUCUCCAUUUCAGGGUAUGCAUUGAAAGCAAAGAGGAACAAAUGGGAUGCAACCGUUCCAAAGCAUGAUGUGUACUCAUCUAUGAUAAGUUGCUGUUUGACAUUCUGGAGAGGU
rnacentral:lncRNA from 13 species